GGGUAACCUGCCUGUAAGACUGGGAUAACUCCGGGAAACCGGGGCUAAUACCGGAUGCUUGAUUGAACCGCAUGGUUCAAUCAUAAAAGGUGGCUUUUAGCUACCACUUGCAGAUGGACCCGCGGCGCAUUAACUAGUUGGUGAGGUAACGGCUCACCAAGGCGACGAUGCGUAGCCGACCUGAGAGGGUGAUCGGCCACACUGGGACUGAAACACGGCCCAGACUCCUACGGGAGGCAGCAGUAGGGAAUCUUCCGCAAUGGACGAAAGUCUGACGGAACAACGCCGCGUGAGUGAUGAAGGUUUUCGGAUCGUAAAACUCUGUUGUUAGGGAAGAACAAGUACCGUUCGAAUAGGGCGGUACCUUGACGGUACCUAACCAGAAAGCCACGGCUAACUACGUGCCAGCAGCCGCGGUAAUACGUAGGUGGCAAGCGUUGUCCGGAAUUAUUGGGCGUAAAGCGCGCGCAGGCGGUUUCUUAAGUCUGAUGUGAAAGCCCCCGGCUCAACCGGGGAGGGUCAUUGGAAACUGGGGAACUUGAGUGCAGAAGAGGAGAGUGGAAUUCCACGUGUAGCGGUGAAAUGCGUAGAGAUGUGGAGGAACACCAGUGGCGAAGGCGACUCUCUGGUCUGUAACUGACGCUGAGGCGCGAAAGCGUGGGGAGCGAACAGGAUUAGAUACCCUGGUAGUCCACGCCGUAAACGAUGAGUGCUAAGUGUUAGAGGGUUUCCGCCCUUUAGUGCUGCAGCAAACGCAUUAAGCACUCCGCCUGGGGAGUACGGUCGCAAGACUGAAACUCAAAGGAAUUGACGGGGGCCCGCACAAGCGGUGGAGCAUGUGGUUUAAUUCGAAGCAACGCGAAGAACCUUACCAGGUCUUGACAUCCUCUGACAACCCUAGAGAUAGGGCUUCCCCUUCGGGGGCAGAGUGACAGGUGGUGCAUGGUUGUCGUCAGCUCGUGUCGUGAGAUGUUGGGUUAAGUCCCGCAACGAGCGCAACCCUUGAUCUUAGUUGCCAGCAUUCAGUUGGGCACUCUAAGGUGACUGCCGGUGACAAACCGGAGGAAGGUGGGGAUGACGUCAAAUCAUCAUGCCCCUUAUGACCUGGGCUACACACGUGCUACAAUGGGCAGAACAAAGGGCAGCGAAGCCGCGAGGCUAAGCCAAUCCCACAAAUCUGUUCUCAGUUCGGAUCGCAGUCUGCAACUCGAC
rnacentral:rRNA from 1 species